GAUAACUGAAAUUUGAGCAUACUAACUAUAUUUGAAUAAUAAUCUUAUAGACUGAUGCUUAACUUCUUUUUUACUACGCUGAUAUGAACAAUCAAGACGAUGGUAAAAACUAAGAAUAUUGUUUAAAUUUAAUGAUAUUAGCUGUCAAGACCAUUUGAAAAUAUAAAAUGAAAACUAAAAAUAUCCGAAAAGAAUAAUUGUUCAUUCGCAAUGCUCGCAUUUGUUUUUUCGACAAUUUCCAGUCGGUCUCGCAUUUAGAAGCAUUGUGACAAAGGUUGAGCAGUAAAUGUAUGUAACUCGUUAAAAAUAAAUCAUUUUAUAGUGUUAGUACAUGUUAAAUAUUUUAAAUUCGUAUAAGUUAUACAAACUUGGCAUUGUCAUUUUUUGAAAUAUUUUUAUGAGUUGGAUUUCAUUUGUCAUUAUUAUGAAUACAUUUAGAUUUUGUGGUAACGUGCUUAUUUAUAAAGAAUACACACGAAGAACCUGAAUAUACAUUUUGCGCUAAAAUCACCGUUCAACGUUAAGAAAAGUUUGAACAAUUAAGUUUCAAUUGCAGUGUUAAUAUAACCAACAAUAUAAAGAUUUGUCUGUUCCUUGAUACAACAUAAUGAAAAAGGAAACCUUUCGUAAAUCAUUUAUUUGAAAUUUUGCGUAAAUGUAUUGUUUUCAAAUUAAAAGCAAUUAGAUUAUGUAAUUAUGACGUAAAACAAAAACAAAACUAGAAGCAACGGGACAUUGAACGUUCAUGACCGUUGCAAUUGGUAUCUACCCUGACACUAUAUUGCUUCCCUUUCGUAGCAAUGGUAAUAUAUGCAAAAUACUUCUAAAUAUAGGUUACUGGAAUUUUUGUGAUGUAUAUAUAGUUUUUAUGAAGUCUGAUUUAUAAAUAUUUAUACAUAUAAGUAACAUGUUAUUUCAGUAUUUUAGUUAGAUCAUGAAUACCAUUUCAGAGUAAAGGUACUUGUAAAAGAAAAAAGUUAUCAAAAGCACAAUGAAUAUAUUUGGUUCAACUAUAAUAUACUGACCUCAUUGAAGGAACAUAGCAUAUUAUAUAAGAGAAUCUUGGCGUUAACAGACAGAUGAAUAAAACGGUGCUUGUAUAUAAUUGUUAAACAAUACUCAAACGAAUCGAGUAAAAAAGUAAAAGACUGAAACAAGAACAUGUAACUUAAUUUUUUAUGAAAAUAUUUUGAAUAAAAUGACAUACAUUUGGUCAGAAAACAUGAUAUAUCGUACGUUCGUAUUAAUUUGAUCUGUUGACACAAUUUGUAAUGCAUUUUUGUUAUUCAAUUUUUACUUAUUUUGUGUUA